AUUGAACGCUGGCGGCAGGCCUAACACAUGCAAGUCGAACGGCGCGGCGGACGGGUGAGUAAUGCCUAUGAAUCUGCCUGGUCGUGGGGGAUAACGUUCGGAACCGGGCGCUAAUACCGCAUCCUAUCAGCUUAGCCUAGGUCGGAUUAGCUAGGUGGUGGGGUAAAGGCCUACCAAGGAGACGAUCCGUAACUGGUCUGAGAGGAUGAUCAGUCACACUGGAACUGAGACACGGUCCAGACUCCUACGGGAGGCAGCAGUGGGGAAUAUUGGACAAUGGGCGAAAGCCUGAUCCAGCCAUGCCGCGUGUGUGAAGAAGGUCUUCGGAUUGUAAAGCACUUUAAGUUGGGAGGCGUUACCAGCAGAAGAAGCACCGGCUAACUUCGUGCCAGCAGCCGCGGUAAUAC
rnacentral:rRNA from 1 species